CGUAUGCACGCGGUCGGAACGAGAGAGGCUCCUCGAGAGACCCGGUGACGCGGAUCGAGACCCUCUGACGCUGACACGCGGACGAUGCUGCGGGGUGCCUCUCGUCUACGUCAGGGUGCAUCGCGUUCGUUGCCAGUUUUCUUUUGAUAGGAUGUUGCUGUUUAUUGGCUGGGUUUGUUCGUGAGUUGGGAGAUGGCGACGCCUGUGAAUGGGAAGUUUGUUCGUUGGGGUCUUUAGCUUUGUCGCUGGCUUCAGAGGGUUUAAUGAUGGCCGAGUGUAGGUGGGGUUUAGAGAGAGGAACACUGAGAGAUUCCUGGGUGCUCAAAGAUGAUCGUUAACACUACAACUGCCAGGUCACGCAGGACACAGCGGGGCGAAUUAAAUAUGCAACGAGCGAUUCGGAAGUCCGGAAGGGAGGCGAACUUACUUGUGUUUAAGGUGCUGCGGCGUUCCUAUGCACCUGAGACCGGCUUUGGCAAGAAUACCGACCCGGUUGCACAAAUUCUCGCACUCCGCCACGCUGUGCGAGGUCAGAAUUACGCAAGUCUGGUCCUUCGUCAUGCGUCUUAUCGUUUUCGCGACGAGAUCCUUCGUGGCUGGGUCCAUGCCGCUGCAACGGGAAUAAAUAAACCAUGAGCUCGCGCGAGUUCGACGCUUUCAACCCCUUGACCU